rnacentral:rRNA from 1 species
UACGUAGGCAGCAAGCGUUUGUCCGGAAUCAUUGGGCGUAAAGAGCGCGUAGGCGGUCCGGUAAGUCCGCUCUGAAAGUCCGGGGCUCAACCCCGGGAGGCGGGCGGAUACUGUCGGGCUAGAGUCCGGAAGAGGCGAGUGGAAUUCCUGGUGUAGCGGUGAAAUGCGCAGAUAUCAGGAGGAACACCGGUGGCGAAGGCGGGUCUCUGGGCAGUAACUGACGCUGAGGAGCGAAAGCGUGGGGAGCGAACAGG